AACGAACGCUGGCGGCAGGCCUAACACAUGCAAGUCGAGCGAGGACUUCGGUCCUAGCGGCGGACGGGUGAGUAACGCGUGGGAACGUGCCCUUUGCUUCGGAAUAGCCCUGGGAAACUGGGAGUAAUACCGGAUGAGCCCUUUGGGGGAAAGAUUUAUCGGCGAAGGAUCGGCCCGCGUUGGAUUAGGUAGUUGGUGGGGUAAUGGCCUACCAAGCCGACGAUCCAUAGCUGGUUUGAGAGGACGAUCAGCCACACUGGGACUGAGACACGGCCCAGACUCCUACGGGAGGCAGCAGUGGGGAAUCUUAGACAAUGGGGGAAACCCUGAUCUAGCCAUGCCGCGUGAGCGAUGAAGGCCUUAGGGUUGUAAAGCUCUUUCAGCUGGGAAGAUAAUGACGGUACCAGCAGAAGAAGCCCCGGCUAACUCCGUG
rnacentral:rRNA from 1 species